GAGAAAGUAUGCAAGAACUGCUAACUCUCUGCCUCCAGGCUUAACAUCCUGGCCUUCUCAG
rnacentral:tRNA from 1 species